CGAGUUUGAUCAUGGCUCAGGAUGAACGCUAGCGGCAGGCUUAAUACAUGCAAGUCGUGGGGCAGCGCGGGUAGCAAUACCUGGCGGCGACCGGCAAACGGGUGAGGAACAUGUACGCAACCUUCCUUUAACUGGAGAAUAGCCCCUCGAAAGAGGGAUUAAUACUCCGUAACAUAAUGAAGUGGCAUCACUUUAUUAUUAUAGCUCCGGCGGUUAAAGAUGGGCGUGCACCUGAUUAGAUAGUUGGAGUGGUAACGGCACCCCAAGACAGCGAUAGAUAGGGGCCCUGAGAGGGGGAUCCCCCACACUGGUACUGAGACACGGACCAGACUCCUACGGGAGGCAGCAGUGAGGAAUAUUGGACAAUGGGCGAGAGCCUGAUCCAGCCAUGCCGCGUGCAGGAAGACGGCCCUAUGGGUUGUAAACUGCUUUUGUACGGGAAGAAACACCCCCUCGUGAGGGGGCUUGACGGUACCGUAAGAAUAAGGAUCGGCUAACUCCGUG
rnacentral:rRNA from 1 species